rnacentral:rRNA from 1 species
GAUGAACGCUGACAGAAUGCUUAACACAUGCAAGUCAACUUGAACUUCGGUUUGGGUGGCGGACGGGUGAGUAACGCGUAAAGAACUUGCCUCACAGCUAGGGACAACAUUUGGAAACGAAUGCUAAUACCUGAUAUUAUGAUUUUAGGGCAUCCUAGAAUUAUGAAAGCUGUAUGCGCUGUGAGAGAGCUUUGCGUCCCAUUAGCUAGUUGGAGAGGUAACGGCUCACCAAGGCGAUGAUGGGUAGCCGGCCUGAGAGGGUGAACGGCCACAAGGGGACUGAGACACGGCCCUUACUCCUACGGGAGGCAGCAGUGGGGAAUAUUGGACAAUGGACCAAGAGUCUGAUCCAGCAAUUCUGUGUGCACGAUGAAGUUUUUCGGAAUGUAAAGUGCUUUCAGUUGGGAAGAAAAAAAUGACGGUACCAACAGAAGAAGUGACGGCUAAAUACGUG